rnacentral:rRNA from 1 species
CUUUAGUGGCGGACUGGUGAGUAACGCGUAAGGAAUCUACCUAUUAGAGGGGAAUAACAAUGAGAAAUCAUUGCUAAUACCGCAUAUGCCAUAAUGAAGGCAUCUUCAUAGUGGGAAAGGAGCAAUCCGCUAAUAGAUGAUCUUGCGUCUGAUUAGUUAGUUGGUGGGGUAACGGCCUACCAAGGCGACGAUCAGUAGCCGGACUGAGAGGUUGAACGGCCACAUUGGGACUGAGAUACGGCCCAGACUCCUACGGGAGGCAGCAGUCGGGAAUAUUGCGCAAUGGAGGAAACUCUGACGCAGUGACGCCGCGUAUAGGAAGAAGGUUUUCGGAUUGUAAACUAUUGUCGUUAGGGAAGAAAAAGGACAGUACCUAAGGAGGAAGCUCCGGCUAACUACGUGCCAGCAGCCGCGGUAAUACGUAGGGAGCGAGCGUUAUCCGGAUUUAUUGGGUGUAAAGGGUGCGUAGACGGGCUAACAAGUUAGUUGUGAAAUCCCUCGGCUUAACUGAGGAACUGCAACUAAAACUGUAAGUCUUGAGUGCAGGAGAGGUAAGUGGAAUUCCUAGUGUAGCGGUGAAAUGCGUAGAUAUUAGGAGGAACACCAGUGGCGAAGGCGACUUACUGGACUGUAACUGACGUUGAGGCACGAAAGUGUGGGGAGCAAACAGGAUUAGAUACCCUGGUAGUCCACACCGUAAACGAUGGAUACUAGGUGUAGGAGAUAUUAAGUCUUCUGUGCCGUCGCAAACGCAGUAAGUAUCCCACCUGGGGAGUACGGCCGCAAGGUUGAAACUCAAAGGAAUUGACGGGGGCCCGCACAAGCAGUGGAGUAUGUGGUUUAAUUCGAAGCAACGCGAAGAACCUUACCAGGGCUUGACAUU